AAAAAAAAAAAAAAGGAAGGUGGUAGACAGGGUGGAGGGCGGGGCCUGGAGCCCUGGGUGAGGCUAUGGACUGCGUUGCCCUGAGGGGAGCCAGCGGAGGGUUUUGCACAAGGACAUGACGGAAGCUGACGUACACCUUGAGAGAAGUCCUCUCGUGGCUGUUUUCAGAAUAGUUUGGAAGCAUUUGGAAUAACCCAGGAAGUUUGGCACCUGCCGAUCGGUGACAUCGACACCCGGGCUGCUGCGGGCCAGGACGAACCCCUCCAUCCGGGAGCAGUGGUGGCGGUGGAACAGGUGGCCUGGGGUGCUGGAGGCAGGCCAACCUGGAGAGGUAGGC